rnacentral:lncRNA from 1 species
GUUUACAGUGUAUACAGUAAAAUGUAUUAAUAGAAAGGGCUUUUUUCCCACUCACACAGUUAUACAUUGUUCUAAAUGUAAAUUCAGUUUAACCUGGUUAUCUAUAAUCAUUUCCUGGUAAUGAUAAUUUAUUCUCAGUACUACCUAUAGAAAUAUAUUUUAUGUACAUAUACAAUUAGUCCAGUUAUUGAUAAUUCAGUUAACUUAGUUUGGUGUAUUCCUACCACAUACUAAAAAGUUUACAUUAAAUGACUGAUUUAAAUAUAUAGGUGCAAUGGUCUAUAUUUUUUAUUUUAACUAUGGUGACAUUUAAGUAGCUAACAUAAUUGACGGGUGUUUUAAUAGAUAAAUCUUCUUUUAAAAUAGCUUGCUUUACAUGAAAACUGACGCACUGGAAAUGUAACUACCCUUGGUUGGAACUUACGGUUCAGAUGAGAUGUUAAACAAGACACUGUGUUAUUUAGUUUAGGCAUUUCUCCCUUUCCAAUUAUAUACAACUAAC